rnacentral:rRNA from 1 species
UACGUAGGGUCCGAGCGUUGUCCGGAAUUAUUGGGCGUAAAGAGCGUGUAGGCGGCCCGGUAAGUCCGCUGUGAAAGUCGGGGGCUCAACCCUCGAAUGCCGGUGGAUACUGUCGGGCUAGAGUGCGGAAGAGGCGAGUGGAAUUCCUGGUGUAGCGGUGAAAUGCGCAGAUAUCAGGAGGAACACCAAUUGCGAAGGCAGCUCGCUGGGACGUAACUGACGCUGAGACGCGAAAGCGUGGGGAGCGAACAGG